rnacentral:rRNA from 1 species
AGCGAACGCUGGCGGCAGGCCUAACACAUGCAAGUCGAACGGAUCCUUCAGGAUUAGUGGCGGACGGGUGAGUAACACGUGGGAACGUGCCCUUUGGUUCGGAACAACUCAGGGAAACUUGAGCUAAUACCGGAUGUGCCCUUCGGGGGAAAGAUUUAUCGCCAUUGGAGCGGCCCGCGUCUGAUUAGCUAGUUGGUGAGGUAAAGGCUCACCAAGGCGACGAUCAAUAGCUGGUCUGAGAGGAUGAUCAGCCACAUUGGGACUGAGACACGGCCCAAACUCCUACGGGAGGCAGCAGUGGGGAAUCUUGCGCAAUGGGCGAAAGCCUGACGCAGCCAUGCCGCGUGAAUGAUGAAGGUCUUAGGAUUGUAAAAUUCUUUCACCGGGGACGAUAAUGACGGUACCCGGAGAAGAAGCCCCGGCUAACUUCGUGCCAGCCGCCGCAGUAAAAC